rnacentral:rRNA from 1 species
CACGUAGGGUGCGAGCGUUGUCCGGAAUUAUUGGGCGUAAAGAGCUCGUAGGCGGUGUGUCGCGUCGGCCGUGAAAACCUGCAGCUUAACUGUGGGCUUGCGGUCGAUACGGGCAUCACUGGAGUUCGGCAGGGGAGACUGGAAUUCCUGGUGUAGCGGUGAAAUGCGCAGAUAUCAGGAGGAACACCGGUGGCGAAGGCGGGGUCUCUGGGGCCGAUACUGAC